UACAGAGGUGUCUAGCGUUGUCCGGAAUUACUGGGCGUAAAGGGCGCGUAGGUGGGUGAGUAAGUCGGAUGUGAAAUCGCUGGGCUUAACCUAGCAACUGCAUCCGAAACUACUUGUCUUGAGUGCAGAAGAGGAGAGUGGAAUUCCCAGUGUAGCGGUGAAAUGCGUAGAUAUUGGGAGGAACACCAGUGGCGAAGGCGGCUCUCUGGUCUGCAACUGACACUGAAGCGCGAAAGCUAGGGGAGCAAACGGG
rnacentral:rRNA from 1 species